GACGAACGCUGGCGGCGUGCUUAACACAUGCAAGUCGAACGGAAAGGCCCUGCUUUUGUGGGGUGCUCGAGUGGCGAACGGGUGAGUAACACGUGAGUAACCUGCCCUUGACUUUGGUAUAACUUCAGGAAACUGGGGCUAAUACCGGAUAGGAGCUCCUGCUGCAUGGUGGGGGUUGGAAAGUUUCGGCGGUUGGGGAUGGACUCGCGGCUUAUCAGCUUGUUGGUGGGGUAGUGGCUUACCAAGGCUUUGACGGGUAGCCGGCCUGAGAGGGUGACCGGCCACAUUGGGACUGAGAUACGGCCCAGACUCCUACGGGAGGCAGCAGUGGGGAAUAUUGCACAAUGGGUGGAAGCCUGAUGCAGCAACGCCGUGUGCGGGAUGACGGCCUUCGGGUUGUAAACCGCUUUCGCUCAUGACGAAGCUUUGUGUGACGGUAGUGGGUAAAGAAGCACCGGCUAACUACGUG
rnacentral:rRNA from 1 species